UACGGAGGGGGCAAGCGUUAUUCGGAAUUAUUGGGCGUAAAGGGCGCGUAGGCGGCUAGAUGUGUCAAAGGUGAAAUCCCUCGGCUCAACUGAGGAACUGCCUUUGAAACUGUCUGGCUUGAGGCCGGGAGAGGGUAGCGGAAUUCCCAGUGUAGCGGUGAAAUGCGUAGAUAUCGAGAGGAACACCAAUUGCGAAGGCAGCUCGCUGGGACGUAACUGACGCUGAGACGCGAAAGCGUGGGGAGCAAACAGG
rnacentral:rRNA from 1 species